rnacentral:snRNA from 2 species
AUCGCUUCUCGGCCUUUUGGCUAAGAUCAAGUGUAGUAUC